GGUAGCUGGCGGCGUGCCUUCACAUGCAAGUCGGAGCGAUUUCUUUCGGAUGAAAGCAGCCGCGACGACGGUGUGUAUCACGCUGUGGUGUCCCCUGCCUCAUACACAUGAGUAUCAUAUCCCAAAGUGUAUUCUUAUACGGAGUAUCAUAUAAGAGAUUCACUGUCUAUCUCUUAUCAAAGCUCCCGCGUACAUGAUAUGCACCCGCUCUCUGAUUAGCUUUUUGGUAGUGUUGCGGCUUACCAGCGCCACUAUCUAUCCCCCAUCUGAGGGGGUUAUCCCCCACUUUGACUCUGACACACUCCCCACUCUUCCACGGGACGCCACUGUGGGAUAUUUUGCACUGUGGGCAAACCUCUUAUGCCACCACCCCGCGUGAGAUAUAAGCGUCUUCGUCUCAUAAAUCUCUCCUCUCAGAGAAUAUUAUCACUGCUCUUGGAGAAAACCCCCCCUAUCUCCACGUCCCCACCCCCGCUAUUAUACAUGGGGCUCUAGUUUUCU
rnacentral:rRNA from 1 species